GACGAACGCUGGCGGCGUGCCUAACACAUGCAAGUCGAACGGAGAUACGAUUUCGGUUGUAUCUUAGUGGCGAACGGGUGAGUAACGCGUGAGCAACCUGACUCUUAGAGGGGGAUAACAUUCGGAAACGGGUGCUAAUACCGCAUAAGACCACGACAUGGCAUCAUGACGAGGUCAAAGGAGCAAUCCGCUGAGAGAGGGGCUCGCGUCCCAUUAGAUAGAUGGCGGGGUAAUGGCCCACCAUGUCAGCGAUGGGUAGCCGAGCGGAGAGGCUGAUCGGCCACACUGGAACUGAGACACGGUCCAGACUCCUACGGGAGGCAGCAGUGGGGAAUAUUGGGCAAUGGGCGCAAGCCUGACCCAGCAACGCCGCGUGAGGGAAGAAGGCUUUCGGGUUGUAAACCUCUGUCCUUGGUGACGAAAAAAAUGACGGUAGCCAAGGAGGAAGCCCCGGCUAACUACGUGCCAGCAGCCGCGGUAAUACGUAGGGGGCGAGCGUUGUCCGGAAUUACUGGGCGUAAAGGGUGCGUAGGUGGCCUUUUAAGUUGGAUGUGAAAUACCCGGGCUUAACCUGGGGGGUGCAUCUAAUACUGGGAGGCUAGAGUGCAGGAGAGGAAAGCGGAAUUCCUAGUGUAGCGGUGAAAUGCGUAGAUAUUAGGAGGAACACCAGUGGCGAAGGCGGCUUUCUGGACUGUAACUGACACUGAGGCACGAAAGCGUGGGGAGCAAACAGGAUUAGAUACCCUGGUAGUCCACGCGGUAAACGAUGAAUACUAGGUGUAGGGGGUAUCAACUCCCCCUGUGCCGGAGCUAACGCAAUAAGUAUUCCGCCUGGGGAGUACGGCCGCAAGG
rnacentral:rRNA from 1 species